rnacentral:rRNA from 1 species
CACAUGCAAGUCGAACGGUAACAGGAAGCAGCUUGCUGCUUCGCUGACGAGUGGCGGACGGGUGAGUAAUGUCUGGGGAUCUGCCUGAUGGAGGGGGAUAACUACUGGAAACGGUAGCUAAUACCGCAUAACGUCGCAAGACCAAAGAGGGGGACCUUCGGGCCUCUUGCCAUCAGAUGAACCCAGAUGGGAUUAGCUAGUAGGUGGGGUAACGGCUCACCUAGGCGACGAUCCCUAGCUGGUCUGAGAGGAUGACCAGCCACACUGGAACUGAGACACGGUCCAGACUCCUACGGGAGGCAGCAGUGGGGAAUAUUGCACAAUGGGCGCAAGCCUGAUGCAGCCAUGCCGCGUGUAUGAAGAAGGCCUUCGGGUUGUAAAGUACUUUCAGCGAGGAGGAAGGCGGUAAGGUUAAUAACCUUAUCGAUUGACGUUACUCGCAGAAGAAGCACCGGCUAACUCCGUGCCAGCAGCCGCGGUAAUACGGAGGGUGCAAGCGUUAAUCGGAAUUACUGGGCGUAAAGCGCACGCAGGCGGUCUGUCAAGUCGGAUGUGAAAUCCCCGGGCUCAACCUGGGAACUGCAUUCGAAAC